AUUGAACGCUGGCGGCAUGCUUUACACAUGCAAGUCGAACGGUAACAGGUCUUCGGAUGCUGACGAGUGGCGAACGGGUGAGUAAUACAUCGGAACGUGCCUAGUAGUGGGGGAUAACUACUCGAAAGAGUAGCUAAUACCGCAUGAGAUCUACGGAUGAAAGCAGGGGACCUUCUGGCCUUGUGCUACUAGAGCGGCUGAUGGCAGAUUAGGUAGUUGGUGGGGUAAAGGCUUACCAAGCCUGCGAUCUGUAGCUGGUCUGAGAGGACGACCAGCCACACUGGGACUGAGACACGGCCCAGACUCCUACGGGAGGCAGCAGUGGGGAAUUUUGGACAAUGGGCGAAAGCCUGAUCCAGCAAUGCCGCGUGCAGGAUGAAGGCCCUCGGGUUGUAAACUGCUUUUGUACGGAACGAAAAGCCUGGGGCUAAUAUCCCCGGGUCAUGACGGUACCGUAAGAAUAAGCACCGGCUAACUACGUGCCAGCCGCCGCAGUAA
rnacentral:rRNA from 1 species